rnacentral:rRNA from 1 species
UACAGAGGGUGCAAGCGUUAUUCGGAAUUACUGGGCGUAAAGCGUGCGUAGGCGGUUAUUUAAGUCAGGUGUGAAAGCCCAGGGCUCAACCUUGGAAUUGCAUUUGAGACUGAAUAGCUAGGGUGCGGAAGAGGGAAGCGGAAUUUCCGGUGUAGCGGUGAAAUGCGUAGAUAUCGGAAGGAACACCAGUGGCGAAAGCGGCUUCCUGGUCCAGCACCGACGUUCAGGCACGAAAGCGUGGGGAGCAAACAGG